AUUGAACGCUAGCGGCAUGCCUUACACAUGCAAGUCGAACGGCGUGGCCAACGGGUGCGUAAUUUAUCUGUACGUGCCCAGUCGCGGGGGGUAACUACGCGAAAGCGUCGCUAAUCCCUCCUACUCUUGGACCGGUCUAUACCGGAUUAGCUAGUUGGUGGGGUAACGGCUCACCCAGGCGACGACCCGUAGCUGGUUUGAGAGGACGACCAGCCACACUGGGACUGAGACACGGCCCAGACUCCUACGGGAGGCAGCAGUGGGGAAUUUUGGACAAUGGGGGAAAGCCUGAUGCAGCCAUGCCGCGUGGACGAUGAAGGCCGUCGGGUUGUAAAGCACUUUUGGCAGGAAGGCGUUACCGGCAGAAUAAGCACCGGCUAACUCCGUGCCAGCAGCCGCGGUAAUAC
rnacentral:rRNA from 1 species